AAAUCUUGGAGAUUGAUCGGGGUAUACGGGCCACAAGAAGACGAUGCUAAGCUUGAUUUCCUUCAUCAGCUUAGACAGUUACUGUCCAGUUCUUCCUGCCCAACGAUCUGUGCAGGAGAUUUCAACUUGAUAUGCUCUGCGGCGAACAAAUCAAACACAAGAAUCAACAGGCGGCUCAUGAAUGCUUUCUGCAGCUUCAUCUGGGAUAUGGAGCUCAAAGAUCUGUACUUGCAUGGCAGAACCUACACCUGGACAAAUGAGCAAGAGAGGGCGACACAGGUAAAGUUGGACCGGGUGCUCUACAAUGAUCGUUGGCACGACAUGUUCCCCUCCUAUCAGUUGCAAGCCAUCAACACGGCGGUUAGCGACCAUUGCCCCCUGCUGCUAACCUGUGACACUGAGUUCAAA
rnacentral:rRNA from 1 species